AGUGUGUGAGCCGAAGAGAAAUCUGAGGCUCGCAUGCUACCCUUAACAUACCCCAAUGAAGUAUCAGAAUGUACCUUGCGUUAACUCGCACAAAUAUAACUUUCAACAACGGAUCUCUUGGCUCUCGCAUCGAUGAAGAACGCAGCGAAAUGCGAUAAGUAAUGUGAAUUGCAGAAUUCAGUGAAUCAUCGAAUCUUUGAACGCACCUUGCGCCCCUUGGCAUUCCGAGGGGCACGCCUGUUUGAGUGUCGUGAACUCCUCCACCCUCUACCUUUUUCGAAAGGCAUUGGGCUGGGAUUUGGGAGCUUGCGGGUCCCUGGCCGAUCCGCUCUCCUUGAAUACAUUAGCGAAGCCCUUUGCGGCCUUGGUGUGAUAAUUAUCUGCGCCUUGGCUUAGCGAAUCUAUAGGGACUUGCUUCCAACCGUCUCGCAAGGGACAACGACUACCAACUUGACCUCAAAUCAGGCGGGACUACCCGCU
rnacentral:rRNA from 1 species